CUCCCUGCCUCUUAAAAUGAGAUCAUCAAAAAGGAGGCAGUUGGUUUUCUCUCUCCUGCUACCAUGUGAAGAAGGAUGUGUUUGCUUCCUCUUCUGGCAUGAUUGUGGCCUCUAAAUCAACACGUAGAAGCAAGAGAAGGG